rnacentral:lncRNA from 1 species
CUCAGCUGAGAAGCCUGUGCUGAGCCAGCCCUUAGCUGGCCGGACAACCCCCAUUGGCAGAGACACCCAAUUAGGGAGAUUCUGUUUCUGGCUCCUUGGAGGUGACCAUUUUCAUUUCAGGUGAAGGGCCACGGUAAAUGAAGGGCAGGGUGCAGGAGGGCCUCACACUGUGGAGAAAGGACAUUUUUAGCAAUUUCUGUCAAUGCCAUGCAUUUCUCAGAGAGUUCAGACUUUAGCCGUCUGGUAGACUCCCCAUCGUCAGGUAGCUGGAAGUAAGACAGAUCCCCGAAUCUGGCCCAGGAUAUGCCCCGGAGAAACAGGACUGCCCCUGGAUGCACAAUAGCCCUCACUCUGCAGCAGCCACCAAACAGCCUUCACACGUGCUGCUUCAGCUCGUUCUCACCAACCCCAGCAGCUGACAACAGAGUCAACCUCUUCGAGGCAGGAGCAUUCUGGCAUUUCGCACAGAGAAAACAGAACACAAUUUGCCCUCGGGCCCAGUUGAUGAUUCCUGGACCGUGGGGUCGAUAUCCAGGGCUGGCAUCUCCACGGUUCUUUUAUCUCAGUCUCCACUAUAAACACCAGGCCCCAUGAGAGCUGCUGGGCUGAGGCUCAUUUAAAGAAGCUUCCUGCGGAAUGAUGAGGGAAAAGGCAGGUCCGUAAAUCCCCGCCUGCGCCCGCCGAGGAUUCCAAGCGCAUGAGCAGCUCCAGGCUCCAGCUUGCUGUCCCCCUUGCCCUCCUUCUUGCAUUAGCAGGCACUUCCUCUAAGGCUGCUGCCCUGGGAGGGUUUCUUGCAAACCCACUAGAUCUGAGGAAAGACAGAGAAAACAUCUACUUAAGGCUGCCCAGAUGACAGCAUGUGUCUAAAAAUAUAUGUCUCCUAGUUUUCGAGUGAUCGAAGGCCCCACAGCCUUCAGCACUGGAGUCAUUUAGAGGUCAUGGUGAAAGGACUGGCUCCCUCCUUGCCUCCAUUUAAGCAGAAGCUGCGAGAAAGCCCCCAAAGCCUUGGGUCAUGUCUCCAACAGGCUCGGAUGCACAAAUCUGUUUUCAAGCCUGGAAAAUGAAGCAAAUGUGUGGUUUUCAGCUACUGUUGCAGUUCAGGGGCCUUUGUAGCAAAUGAUACUCCCCUAGACUAAGGAUCCGAAAUACAAAUGUCUAUAGAAAGGCCACGCAGAUAUCGUACUUGGAUGGAGGCAGCCAGAGGUAAGGCUGUUGGGAGUGGUGGGGACUGUGGUAAACAGGAGAGUACUCACUCCAUCUAAGGAAGCAGAAACAACCAG